AGAGAGCCGGAAGGUCGCAAGGCCGACUUGCUGCUGUGNGUUUCCAAGUAUCGAUAAUAGGUAACUNACCCNGAAUACAUAGGGGNAAAGNGGCGAACGCGGGGAACUGAAACAUCUAAGUACCCGUAGAAAGGACAUCAACCGAGACUCCGGAAG
rnacentral:rRNA from 1 species